rnacentral:rRNA from 1 species
AGGGUUUGAUUCUGGCUCAGGAUGAACGCUGGCGGCGUGCCUAACACAUGCAAGUCGAACGAGGUAAAUAAGAGGAAGUUUUCGGAUGGAAUCGUAUUUACCGAGUGGCGGACGGGUGAGUAACGCGUGGAUAACCUGCCUCAUACAGGGGGAUAACAGUUAGAAAUGACUGCUAAUACCGCAUAAGCGCACAGUAUCGCAUGGUACGGUGUGAAAAACUCCGGUGGUAUGAGAUGGAUCCGCGUCUGAUUAGCUAGUUGGCGGGGUAACGGCCCACCAAGGCGACGAUCAGUAGCCGACCUGAGAGGGUGACCGGCCACAUUGGGACUGAGACACGGCCCAA